UGAGGAACACGUACACAACCUUCCUUCAAGCGGGGAAUAGCCCAGAGAAAUUUGGAUUAAUACCCCAUAAUAUAUUUGAUAAGGCAUCUUAUUAAUAUUAAAGCUUCGGCACUUGAUGAUGGGUGUGCGGCUGAUUAGAUAGUUGGCGGGGUAACGGCCCACCAAGUCUACGAUCAGUAGCUGAUGUGAGAGCAUGAUCAGCCACACGGGCACUGAGACACGGGCCCGACUCCUACGGGAGGCAGCAGUAAGGAAUAUUGGACAAUGGACGAAAGUCUGAUCCAGCCAUGCCGCGUGAAGGAUUAAGGUCCUCUGGAUUGUAAACUUCUUUUAUGUGGGACGAAAAAAGGGCAUUCUUGUUCACUUGACGGUACCAUAUGAAUAAGCACCGGCUAACUCCGUG
rnacentral:rRNA from 1 species